UACGACAGGAGAUGUUACUAUUUUUCCAAUGGGAUCAGAAAUUGGAAUGAAAGUCUUGAAUUCUGUUCAUCGUUUGAUGCUUCUCUGGUCAUAAUAAAAACCAAAUCAGACCUGGAAAUCAUCAACUGUUACAAAGAAAAUUUUUACUACUGGAUUAGACUGACAAAAGGAGCUGAAGGGUGGCGAUGGGUGGAUGGAUCACCUUUAACAAAUGACAUAAUCACACUUGAGAAUGAGGCACCAAACCUGAACUGUGGUUACCUGAAUACAGAGAAGAUUGUUACCAUAGCCUGCGAAUCUCUCUGGCGCUGGAUCUGUAUCAGAGAUGUCAACCCUACCUUUGGCCCCUCCAGAGCUGCCUCCUGAGGGUCUGGCUGCACUUGUAGCAAAACCCCCAGUUUUCCUUUUUUUCUUUUUAAAUGCAUUCCCUCCCCUUCCCCAACCAUUUCUGACUUUGUC